GCUGGGCACGGUGGCGCGUGCCUGUAAUCCCAGCUACUCGGGAGGCUGAGGCAGGAGAAUUGCCUGAACCCAGGAGGCAGAGGUUGCAGUGAGCCGAGGUCGCGCCAUUGCGCUCCAGCCUGGGUAACAAGAGCGAAACUCUGUCUCUU
ensembl:misc_RNA Metazoa_SRP Metazoan signal recognition particle RNA